rnacentral:lncRNA from 1 species
AACAUUUUCUUUCAGAACCAAGAAAAAUUCAAGGGAAAAUAGAAAAUUCAGCAAACAAUGGAUGUAUCGAGAACACGAUGAAUAAAAAAAAUGACAGAACAGAAGAAUAAAAUUGAGAAUGAAAAUGGGGAAUGUGUCAGAGACAAAAAACCGACCAUAGAACAGACAACAGUAGAAGGUCACCAAUAGGUCUUCUCCUCAGAGAGAAAUUCCCGCACCCGAAGGCAUCCUACGACUACCCCCUAAACAAAUAUAUACACUAGGUCAGUGAUAAUGAACGCCAUACUAAACUCC